GUGGGGAAUAUUGGACAAUGGGCGAAAGCCUGAUCCAGCGACGCCGCGUGGGUGAAGAAGGCCUGCGGGUUGUAAAGCCCUUUCGGUAGGGAAGAAAAGCCUCGACCUAACACGUCGGGGUAUUGACGUAACCUACUAAAGAAGCACCGGCUAACUCUGUGCCAGCAGCCGCGGUAAUACAGAGGGUGCGAGCGUUAAUCGGAAUUACUGGGCGUAAAGCGCGCGUAGGCGGCUUUGCAAGUCGGGUGUGAAAUCCCCAGGCUUAACCUGGGAACUGCACUCGAGACUGCAUUGCUAGAGUAUGGGAGAGGGAAGUGGAAUUUCCGGUGUAGCGGUGAAAUGCGUAGAUAUCGGAAGGAACAUCAGUGGCGAAAGCGACUUCCUGGACCAAUACUGACGCUCAUGUGCGAAAGCGUGGGGAGCAAA
rnacentral:rRNA from 1 species